GUAGGGAAUCUUGCGCAAUGGGCGAAAGCCUGACGCAGCCAUGCCGCGUGAAUGAUGAAGGUCUUAGGAUUGUAAAAUUCUUUCACCGGGGACGAUAAUGACGGUACCCGGAGAAGAAGCCCCGGCUAACUUCGUGCCAGCAGCCGCGGUAAUACGAAGGGGGCUAGCGUUGCUCGGAAUUACUGGGCGUAAAGGGAGCGUAGGCGGAUAGUUUAGUCAGAGGUGAAAGCCCAGGGCUCAACCUAGGAAUUGCCUUUGAUACUGGCUAUCUUGAGUAUGGAAGAGGUAUGUGGAACUCCGAGUGUAGAGGUGAAAUUCGUAGAUAUUCGGAAGAACACCAGUGGCGAAGGCGACAUACUGGUCCAUUACUGACGCUGAGGCUCGAAAGCGUGGGGAGCAAACAGGAUUAGAUACCCCAGUAGUCC
rnacentral:rRNA from 1 species